rnacentral:lncRNA from 1 species
CUCUUACGAACUUCGGCUGGGGUUGUUUUAUACCCAACACCUCAAAAAUUGAACUUGAUGAAGUUUGAUCGGUAGAAGAAUUGACACAAUCUAGUAAAUCUAUUAAAUCAAAUUUGAUUAGAUCAAAUCCGAAAUCUAUUGUAGAAAUAUCUUUAAGGAGAUCCAAUAGAGUACCAUGUCAACCGGACAGAUACUAUGGUUUCUUGAUCCGAAAUGGUAAUCUAGUUGAACUCAAUGAGAACAAUGAAGAUUCAAUCACCUACAUGAUGCGAUGUAGAGGUCUAACUCUGACAAGUGGCUAGAAGCUAUAAAAUUCAAAAUAAAGUUUAUGAAGGUCAACAAUGUAUGGACAUUAAUUGAUCCACUUGAAGGGCUAAAAUUCAUAGGAUGUAAGUGGAUCUUCAAAAAGAAGAGGGGCAC